rnacentral:sRNA from 1 species
AUGCCGUCGAUGGCACGGACACCGGAAUCGGCAUCAAAUGGCGCUUUGAUGGUUCAGUCUUCAAUCUCAGACGGCCGCAAGCGAAGACCAAGCACAAAGAAGACGGAAGUCUUGCAUCAGCCAGCACCAGGCAAACCGUAUGUUGAGCCUAACAUUAUCAUCAACAACCAACGACUAAAUGUAGUGUACAAGUUCACGUACCUCGGUAGCACUCUCUCCAGGAACGUUGUGAUCGAUGACGAGGUGAACGCUAGACUUGCCAAGGCGAGCGUUGCAUUGGGCAGACGGUACAAGAACGUGUUGGACAGAAGAGGCAUCAAAAUUGAGACAGAGAUUAAGAUCUACCGUGCUGUGGUUCUCAACACACUGCUGUAUGGCCGUGAGGCGUGGACUGUCUACCAGAAGCACGCCAGAGAGCUUCCACUUCCACAAGACCAGCUUCCGAAAGCUUCUCAGUAUCAAGUGGCAAGAAAAGAUACCCGACACAGAAGUCCUCAUCCGAGCUGGCACGCCAAGCAUCUACACCAUGCUCAUACAGUCACAGCUCCGCUGGGCGGGACACGUAGUCCGUAUGCCAGACCAUCGACUCCCCAGAAACUACUCUCUUGCGAACUACAGGAAGGAAAGUGUUCCCGGUGUGCACCAAAGAAGCCUUAA